CUGCUGCAGUCCGUGAGACAGGAUUAGACGUGAUGCAUAACCUGUGUCCAUCGUCAAGUCUGAAAUCACUGAAACGGUCACAUCUGAUUUUCCUCUACCCCGCCCUGCAGCCUGGAGAAGGGCUCAGGCAUCUCACUUGGAGACAAACCCCACCUCCAGUGGCAGCCCUGGGGUCUGGAGGGAUGGAGAGCAAGGAUUAGCGUGAGAUACCUCUCCACGUGGCUGACCCAACACUGGGAGGGAAGGACCCUGGACACUGCUCUGGCCCUGUAUCUCCUGGCAGUACUUUCUGCAGGGCUGUGGGAGGCUUCCUGUGGGAAGUGGUCCCCUUCAGUUGGCCCCACCCUCACUGAUGACCCUUCUAGAACUGAGGCUGUGUCACCCACAGGCCCUGCUCCUGGCGCACCACCAUCCUCUUCAGAGACUGGGAUUGCAUUUGUGGGCCUCCGACCUCUUCUCUCCACUGAUCCCAGCGUCCUUCUUGUACAGGAACGGCAGGUGGACAGCAGAGAGCACCCCGGCAGCCCACUGAAGGCCGAGUGCUCCAGGGGAUGACUGCCCACGUGGCCAGACCUUAUUCUGCAGCAGCCGUCUGUCUGUGCACUUGCCCCUCACUCAAGUUCACUCGUGUCCUGUCUGAGGCCUACGGUGUCAGCAGAUCCCUGUUUGACUAGACAUGAGACCCCAAUCGUGAAGGACCCAAAUGUUUUAUCCCCAGCCUUCGAAGACACCUCACUUCAGUGUAUGUCUCCUCUCCUGAGAAAACUGAAGUUUGGGAAAAGUGGGGUCUACAUGCUGACUUUCUCCUCCACAUCUUCUCACUGCUGGGAAUGCAGCUGAAUGCGGUUCUCUUAUUGUGUAUUUUGAGAAUAAAUACAGGGAUGAUAAACAUUUCAUAAGA